rnacentral:rRNA from 1 species
CAGCCGCCGCGGGAAUACGAAGGGUGCAAGCGUUAAUCGGAAUUACUGGGCGUAAAGCGUGCGUAGGCGGUGAGUUAAGUCUGCUGUGAAAUCCCCGGGCUCAACCUGGGAACUGCAUUUGUGACUGGCAAGCUAGAGUGUGGCAGAGGGGGGUGGAAUUCCGCGUGUAGCAGUGAAAUGCGUAGAUAUGCGGAGGAACACCGAUGGCGAAGGCAGCCCCCUGGGCCAACACUGACGCUCAUGCACGAAAGCGUGGGGAGCAAACAGGAUUAGAUACCCCAGUAGUCCCUGUCUCUUAUAC